rnacentral:rRNA from 1 species
UACGGAGGGUGCGAACGUUAAUCGGAAUCACUGGGCGUAAAGCGCGCGUAGGCGGUUUGUUAAGUGGGAUGUGAAAUCCCCGGGCUUAACCUGGGAAUUGCAUUUCAAACUGGCCGACUAGAGUACGGUAGAGGGAGGUAGAAUUUCCUGUGUAGCGGUGAAAUGCGUAGAUAUAGGAAGGAAUACCAGUGGCGAAGGCGGCCUCCUGGAUCGAUACUGACGCUGAGGCGCGAAGGCGUGGGGAGCAAACAGG